rnacentral:rRNA from 1 species
AACGAACGCUGGCGGCAUGCCUAACACAUGCAAGUCGAACGAGACCUUCGGGUCUAGUGGCGCACGGGUGCGUAACGCGUGGGAACCUGCCCUUAGGUUCGGAAUAACUCCCCGAAAGGGGUGCUAAUACCGGAUAUUGUCUUCGGACCAAAGAUUUAUCGCCUUUGGAUGGGCCCGCGUUGGAUUAGCUAGUUGGUAGGGUAAAAGCCUACCAAGGCGACGAUCCAUAGCUGGUCUGAGAGGAUGAUCAGCCACACUGGGACUGAGACACGGCCCAGACUCCUACGGGAGGCAGCAGUGGGGAAUAUUGGACAAUGGGCGAAAGCCUGAUCCAGCAAUGCCGCGUGAGUGAUGAAGGCCUUAGGGUUGUAAAGCUCUUUUACCCGGGAUGACAAUGACAGUACCGGGAGAAUAAGCUCCGGCUAACUCCGUG